GCCCGCCGAUACAAUUUUGUUUUCGUUUCUCCAAGAAAUGAAACAUACUGUGUGUUCAUUUCUGGACUACUACAAUAGAACUAUAGAUAGAAGUUGAGUUUUCCCAUUCCCAACAACAAUCAAAAUUCCAAAAUUCGAAACUUCGUAAUGGCAGCAUUGGUUAGGGUGAGAGAUGGUACGAAAACCGUUCGUCUCCUUCGCACGACGUUGCUGCCACAGGGUUGCGGUGGCGCGCCCAUCGUGCAUCGUUGCGCCUCCACCAAAUCUGGCAAGCCUCCGCCUCGCCUCGUGGAGGUUCAGCGGCUCUUGUAUCAGGCAGAGGAGCGCUACAAGCCCUCUGGAGGCGUCGAGCCUAUCCCCAGAAUAAUGCUGGGUAAUUAUUAACCUGUGGUGUUAUUUAUUGAGAUUUAGGGAGAAGAAUUUUCGUUUUCGUUAGGGAUUUAGUUCUGAAUUUGAAUACCUUUUCGGGAAUAUACGGUCGUUGAUUAGUUAGCAAUUCAAAAGUCAGCUGUCUAACAAUUCUGUUAUAGUGGGUGUGAUGUUAACGAAUUGUAGCGGUGAAAUUGCUGUAGAUUUGAAGUUGCGUCUGUAGUAGUUGGAAAUUAAAUGGAAUGUUUAUCUCCAAUACCAGUAGCCUAGUACUAAUGGUCAGAAGAUUGCACGGAAUGAUAGUAUUGGUUCGGUAAUGAUAGUAUUUUCGGCAAAAUGAGACUUUAUGAGGGUUGUUGGUUUGAGCUCAUGGCUCGUAGGAGUGUGGUUUUACGAUAGAUGCCA
rnacentral:lncRNA from 1 species